GGCAACAAUAGGUGGAGCCAGAGUCAAUGGCAGACAGAGCCAACUCCUGAAUGGUUGUAAGAAGGCAGGCAGAUCAUUCCACUGACUAUAGUUGAUGGAAAAUGGUAAAUUCACCUGAGAAUGAGGGCUUCCUUCACAGUUAUUAAUUUUCAACUGAUUACAAGAUCCCCCCUGGCCGCAGCAGCUUCAUGUUGUUGAUCAGUGAAAAGUCUGAAAUACGUUCACACUGGGGGAGUGUCAAGGGUAACUGUAAAGAAGAGAGGUUCCUGCCCUGAGGAGCUUACUGUCUAAUGGAUGAAAGAGACAAUCCAUUAAAUGUGCGA